rnacentral:lncRNA from 1 species
GCUGUCACAUUUUUUUUUUCAUUUUUUUGCUUUUUCUUUUUUUGCUGAGACUGACUUUUUUACAAUUUGUCACCAUCCUUUUUUAGUUUUUUUCAUCAUUUGUUCUAUUUUUCUCGAAAUGAAAUACAACUAUACAUGAAUUAAUACAAAGGGAGACUAGAUAAUCCUGGAUUUUCUACACUUGAUAACUUCUACACUCCUAAACUUGACCAAAU